UAUGCAAGUCGAGCGGAAAGGCCUUCGGGGUACUCGAGCGGCGAACGGGUGAGUAACACGUGAGCAACCUGCCCCAGGCUUUGGGAUAACCCCGGGAAACCGGGGCUAAUACCGAAUAUGACCUUGCACCGCAUGGUGUUUGGUGGAAAGUUUUUCGGCUUGGGAUGGGCUCGCGGCCUAUCAGCUUGUUGGUGGGGUGAUGGCCUACCAAGGCGACGACGGGUAGCCGGCCUGAGAGGGCGACCGGCCACACUGGGACUGAGACACGGCCCAGACUCCUACGGGAGGCAGCAGUGGGGAAUAUUGCACAAUGGGCGGAAGCCUGAUGCAGCGACGCCGCGUGAGGGAUGACGGCCUUCGGGUUGUAAACCUCUUUCAGCAGGGACGAAGCGUAAGUGACGGUACCUGCAGAAGAAGCGCCGGCCAACUACGUGCCAGCAGCCGCGGUAAGACGUAGGGCGCGAGCGUUGUCCGGAUUUAUUGGGCGUAAAGAGCUCGUAGGCGGCUUGUCGCGUCGACUGUGAAAACCCGCAGCUCAACUGCGGGCCUGCAGUCGAUACGGGCAGGCUAGAGUUCGGUAGGGGAGACUGGAAUUCCUGGUGUAGCGGUGAAAUGCGCAGAUAUCAGGAGGAACACCGGUGGCGAAGGCGGGUCUCUGGGCCGAUACUGACGCUGAGGAGCGAAAGCGUGGGGAGCGAACAGGAUUAGAUACCCUGGUAGUCCACGCUGUAAACGUUGGGCGCUAGGUGUGGGGGGCUCUCCGGUUCCCUGUGCCGCAGCUAACGCAUAGCGCCCCGCCUGGGGAGUACGGCGCAGGCUAAAACUCAAAGGAAUUGAGGGGCCCGCACAAGCGCGACAUGAUUAUUAUGCAACGCAUUCGGGUUGAGCCGCAAAGUGUUGGGG
rnacentral:rRNA from 1 species